rnacentral:rRNA from 1 species
UACGUAGGUGGCGAGCGUUGUCCGGAUUUACUGGGCGUAAAGGGAGCGUAGGCGGACUUUUAAGUGAGAUGUGAAAUACCCGGGAUCAACUUGGGUGCUGCAUUUCAAACUGGAAGUCUAGAGUGCAGGAGAGGAGAAUGGAAUUCCUAGUGUAGCGGUGAAAUGCGUAGAGAUUAGGAAGAACACCAGUGGCGAAGGCGAUUCUCUGGACUGUAACUGACGCUGAGGCUCGAAAGCGUGGGGAGCAAACAGGAUUAGAUACCCG